rnacentral:misc_RNA from 1 species
AUGAAGAACGUAGCGAAAUGCGAUACGUAAUGUGAAUUGCAGAAUUCAGUGAAUCAUCGAGUCUUUGAACGCACAUUGCGCCCUCUGGUAUUCCGGAGGGCAUGCCUGUCCGAGCGUCAUUGCUGCCCUCAAGCACGGCUUGUGUGUUGGGCCCCGCCCCCCGAUCCCGGGGGGCGGGCCCGAAAGGCAGCGGCGGCACCGCGUCCGGUCCUCGAGCGUAUGGGGCUUUGUCACCCGCUCUGUAGGCCCGGCCGGCGCUUGCCGAUCAACCAAACUUUUUUCCAGGUUGACCUCGGAUCAGGUAGGGAUACCCGCUGAACUUAAGCAUAUCAAUAAGCGGAGGA